UUCAGUUUUCUUCAAAAGCUGGUUUAUCAUAGAAAAACAAAUAAAAGACCAGCUAAAACAAGAACAGGCAGCUAUGCUCAGACAGGCAGGCCACACGGUAACUUUUUUUGACAACAGCAUGGAUCAAGGCACCCAACAGAAAGCAUGGAAAUCUAGCAGGCAGCUUCGCACUGAAGGGUGUAAUUAGAGCGCUGACAGGCUCUCCACGCAACGCCAUUAACGGUCCACCUGCGAGAGAGACCCAGCGAGCACAGAGCGAUAAGACCAUCUCUUGGGUGGAAAAGAUGUUUCUGGGAGACGGACGAGUAUUCACUGGCUGCUCAGUCAGUUGGAGGCCGUCAACCGCGGGGUGCUGCGGAGUUUUCCAAAGAUGAGAAGAGGAGGUAAUGUGCUCCUUGCUUCCGGUGACAUUGCUGUUUGGUUAGGAGGAGACUAGCUUCUGGCAACCACUGGGAGGAGGUCAGACUGGACACAGCAAUGCUGGGAGGAGGCUGCUGAGUACUAUCAAGAGAUGAAGAGACCAGCUCUGCAGUGGCAGCAGGGACAGAAAGGAGCAGCAAUUGUAAAGAAGCCGUCUUUGGGAAGGAGCUUCAGCAAGCCGGAUUCAGCCAGCACUGGCAGCCCUCAUCUUUCAAGUUCUCCCCCUUUCCCGGCUCCCUGUCACUCUUGUACUCUUGUUCCUCCCAGCUCCUUCUUUCUUUUCUCUCUCUCACUCUCUCUGACCCUUCCGCCCUCCCUCCCUCCAGAGGCCCCAGACUCAACUGCUGGGAAGUCUCUUCAAACAGGAUUGGAAUUGCUUUAAAUAUUAGAGGAUUAGGGGAAGACAAACAGACCUGGGGAAGGUCUGUGCUUGGGGAUUAGGAUUAGAUCUCCUCUGCUGUCCAAGCAUUAGCAGAGGCCACGCUGCCUGCCUCUGGGCUCCGUCCUCUAGAGCAGGGCAGCUAUGGGUUAUGCCUCUAUGCAGCCCACAUUCCUGGGUGGAUCUCUCCUGGUGCUCUAUGUCUGGAAACUUCAGGUGAAGCCCCAGCUAGGCAGCCUCUGUUCCUUCUCAUCCCUGGUCCUGUUCUCUAGAGAACCACCACACAUCGAGCUACCUGCAAUAAACACUUGUCUACCACUGCCUCGAACCUUAGCCAGUGGCUCCAGAUAACCACACAUAGGCUGAGUACCCUGCUAUGAACUAGGUGAGGGUAACAGAAGGAAGAGGAACCCUGUGGCAAGCCAACAUGAGAUGUGACACAGCAUGAGGAGUGUGGGGUACCAUGUGCAUUUAUGGUGUUCACUUUUUUGGGUGGGUUGGGGGUACAGAGGAUUAAACUCAGGGGCACUUGACCUCUGAGCCACAUCCCCAGCCCUAUUUUGUAUUUUAUUUAGAGACAGGGUCUGACUCAGUUGCUUAGCAUCUUGCUGUGGCUGAGGCUAGCUUUGAUCUCUCCAACCUCCAGCUUCAGAUUCCCAAGCCACUAGAAUUAUAGGCAUGUGCCACUGUGCCCAUCGGUGUUCACUAUUUGUUGCUGUGACUGAAAUACUUGACAGGAAAGACUUAGAGAAGGAAUAGGUUUAUUUAGGUUCAUGGUUUCAUAGGUUCAGUCCAUGGUCAGUUGACUCCGUUGCUCUGAGCCUAAGGCAAAACAGAAAAUCAUGGCAGAAGGGCAUGAUAAAGAAGCUGUGCUUUGCUCCUUGUUACCAGGAAGAUGAG